rnacentral:rRNA from 1 species
GAUGAACGCUGGCGGCGUGCCUAACACAUGCAAGUCGAGCGAACAGAUGAGGCGCGUGCCCGUCUUACGUGAGCGACGGACGGGUGAUGAACACGUGGAUAACCGACCGAUAAGGCUGGCAUAACUACGGGAGAGCUGAUCUAAUAUCCGACAAUAUAGAGAACGUCAGGGUUCAUUAGAGAACGAGCGAUCUGAUGACACUAGGAGGGAUAUCCUAGGCGCAUUAGCUAGUUGGUACGGUAACGGCUUACCAAGGCGACGAUGCGUAGCCGAUCUGAGAGGGUGAUCAGCCACACUGGAACUGAGACACGGUCCAGACUCCUACGGGAGGCAGCAGUAGGGAAUAUUGCACAAUGGGCGAAAGCCUGACCCAGCCACGCCGCGUGAGUGAUGAAGGUCGUCGGAUCGUAAAGCUCUGUUAGUAGGGAAGAACAAAAGUGUGUGUAAAUCUGCACGUCUUGACGUUACCUACUCAGUAAGCCCCGGCUAACUACGUG